rnacentral:rRNA from 1 species
UACGAGGGGAGCAAGCGUUGUUCGGAUUUACUGGGGCGUAAAGGGCGCGUAGGCGGCGUGACUAGUCACUUGUGAAAUCUCCGGGCUUAACUCGGAACGGUCAAGUGAUACUGUCGUGCUAGAGUACAGAAGGGGCAACUGGAAUUCUCGGUGUAGCGGUGAAAUGCGUAGAUAUCGAGAGGAACACCUGCGGCGAAGGCGGGUUGCUGGGCUGAUACUGACGCUGAUGCGCGAAAGCCAGGGGAGCGAACGGG